ensembl:processed_transcript 2810403D21Rik RIKEN cDNA 2810403D21 gene
CUUUCCGGUGAGGGAACCUCUCUCCAGACAUGAUCAAGAGAAACUGGCGAGGGACUGACAUGAUCUAGCUUACCUUGGGUCACCGAACGGAUUUGAACUCAUGUGAGAAUAUAUCUCUGUUGUAUUCAAAAGGCAUGUGACAUAAUUAUCCCAGCGAUCACUAAAACUGUAAAUUUGGAUGCUCCACCCAUUUAUGGAAAUUUAAGUGAUGGAAUGUAAUCCAGAAUGUACUUUAUUUCUGAAAUCUCUGUAAAACAGUACAAUAGAAAAAUGAAAACUAAAGACAUAAUUGAGGAAAUCCAACAUCCCACAAAAAGGAAUUCUAGAAAGAGGAGGCUUCGUGUAUACCAGCUAGCCUUGAGUUCACCAUGUAGCUCACUUCCUGAUCUCCAGACUUUCCCUCCAAGUGCUGAUAUUCGAGUCCAGUGGCACUAAACGUGUGGAGUAGUUUUAAUCAAAAUUUGUUCUUUGUGCUUAUUAUCUUACAGUUUUUCUAUAAUAUUCUAAUAGUAUAAAAAAGAUCUCAAGAUUUGCCACAUCUUAGGCUAUCUUUGUUCUAUUAAAUUGUAACAAUGAAAAAAAUGUCCAUUUUGAGACACAGAUGUGCUUCUGUGAGAGGCUUGCUAAGGCUAGGAACACAGUGGAAGCUAAAACUGUAUUGAAGAACUACCCAGAGAAGAAACACUUGAUGCACUUUUUGACUCCUAAGCACAACACCAACUAUGGUGGGUGUCACAUAGUUUCUUACUCUUAUGCACUGUAUGAAGUUAAAAGCCAGUUUAAAAUUAUCACUAGUAAAUCUGUAAAAAAUAUUUUAUUAAAAUUCUCAACC